UGACCUCAGAUCAGGUAGGACUACCCGCUGAACUUAAGCAUAUCAAUAAGCGGAGGA
rnacentral:rRNA from 1 species